rnacentral:rRNA from 1 species
GACGAACGCUGGCGGCGUGCCUAAUACAUGCAAGUCGAGCGAAGUUUUUCUGGUGCUUGCACUAGAAAAACUUAGCGGCGAACGGGUGAGUAACACGUAAAGAACCUGCCUCAUAGACUGGGACAACUAUUGGAAACGAUAGCUAAUACCGGAUAACAGUAUUUCUCGCAUGAGAGAUAUUUAAAAGUUGGUUAUGCUAACACUAUGAGAUGGCUUUGCGGUGCAUUAGCUAGUUGGUGGGGUAAAGGCCCACCAAGGCGACGAUGCAUAGCCGACCUGAGAGGGUGAUCGGCCACACUGGGACUGAGACACGGCCCAGACUCCUACGGGAGGCAGCAGUAGGGAAUCUUCCGCUAUGGGCGAAAGCCUGACGGAGCAACGCCGCGUGAGUGAAGAAGGAUUUCGGUUCGUAAAGCUCUGUUGUUAGGGAAGAAUGGAUAUGUAGUAACUAUACAUGUAAGAGACGGUACCUAACCAGAAAGCCACGGCUAACUACGUG